GAGAUUUAAUGUUUAAGAAUAAGCUUCUAACUUGAUACUUGAGCGGUUGAAUUCCGUUCAAAUCUCA
rnacentral:tRNA from 1 species